AGCCGCGGUAACACCGGCGGCCCGAGUGGUGGCCACUAAUAUUGGGUCUAAAGGGUCCGUAGCCGGCUUGGUCAGUCUUCCGGGAAAUCUGACGGCUUAACCGUUAGGCUUCCGGGGGAUACUACCAGGCUUGGGACCGGGAGAGGUAAGAGGUACUACGGGGGUAGGAGUGAAAUCUUGUAAUCCCCGUGGGACCACCAGUGGCGAAGGCGUCUUACCAGAACGGGUCCGACGGUGAGGGACGAAAGCUGGGGGCACGAACCGGAUUAGAUACCCGGGUAGUCCCAGCCGUAAACUAUGCUCGCUAGGUGUCAGGGACGGUGCGACCGUUUCUGGUGCCGCAGGGAAGCCGUGAAGCGAGCCACCUGGGAAGUACGGUCGCAAGGCUGAAACUUAAAGGAAUUGGCGGGGGAGCACUACAACGGGUGGAGCCUGCGGUUUAAUUGGACUCAACGCCGGAAAACUCACCGGGGGCGACAGCAAUAUGUAGGUCAAGCUAAAGACUUUACCAGAAUCGCUGAGAGGUGGUGCAUGGCC
rnacentral:rRNA from 1 species